rnacentral:tRNA from 1 species
GCUAAUAUGGCUCAGUUGGUAGAGCAGCUCAUUCGUAAUGAGCAGGUCGUCGGUUCGAAUCCGACUAUUAGCU